UGAAACAUCAAUUCUUGUAUGAUCACUGAAGUUAAGCAACAUCAAGCUUGGUCAGUACUUAGAUGGGUGAUCACUUGGGAAUACCAGGUACUGCAAGC